CCUGGUUGAUCCUUCUAGUAGUCAUAUGCUUGUCUCAAAUAUUAAGCCAUGCAUGUUUAAGUAUGAACUAAUUCAGACUGUGAAACUGCAAAUGGCUCAUUAAAUCAGUUAUAGUUUUUUUGAUGGUACCAUACUACUCAGAUAACCAUAGUAAUUCUAGAGCUAAUACGUGCACCAAGUCCAGACUCUUUGGAAGGGAUGCCAUUUUUAGAUAAAAGGAUGGCGUGGGCUUGCCUGCUUCUCCGAUGAAUCAUGAUAAAUCGAUGGAUUGCAUAGCCCUUGUGUUGGCGAUGCUUCAUUCAAAUUUGUACCCAUCAACUUUUGAUGGUAGGAUAGAGGCCUACCAUGGUGGUGAUGAGUGACGGAGAAUUAGGGUUCGAUUAUGGAGAGGGAGCUUGAGAAAUGGCUACCAUAUCCAAGGAGGGCAAUAGGUGUGCAAAUUACCCAAUCUUGACAUGGGGAGGUAGUGACAAUAAAUAACAAUAUUGGGCUCAUCGAGUCUGGUAAUUGGAAUGAGUACAAUCUAAAUCCCUUAAAAAGGAUCCAUGGGAGGGCAAGCUUGGUGCUAGCAGCCACGGUAAUUCCAGCUCCAAUAGUGUAUAUUUAAGUUGUUGCAGUUAAAAAGCCCAUAGUUGGAUCUUGGGUCAUAAAGGUCAGUUUUCCUACUCGGUGUGCACCUUCCCUUCUAUCCCUUUUGUUGGUGGUGUGCUCCUAGCCUUAAUUAUCUAGGUCGUAGCUCGGGUGUUGUUAUUUUGAAAAAAUUAGAGUGCUCAAAGAAAACAUAUGCUCUGAAUACAUUAGCAUGGAAUAACGUGAUAGGAGUGUGGUCCUAUUGUGUUGGCCUUUGAGACCGGAGUAAUGAUUUAUAGGGACUGUCGGGGGCAUUCGUAUUUCAUUGUCAGAGGUGAAAUUCUUGGAUUUAUGAAAGACAAACCACUGCAAAAGCAUUUCCCAAUAAUGCUGACCAGGGAUCAGUGAAUGUUGCUCUAAGGACUCUACCAACACCUUCUAAGAAAUCAGAGUGUUUGGGUUCUCGGGGAGUAUGGUCGCAAAUAUGAAACAUAAAGGAAUUGAUGAAAGGGCACCACCAAGAGUGGAGCCUAUGGCUUAAUUUGAAUCAACAUGGGGAAACUUACCACGUCUAGACAUAGUAAGGAUUUAUAGAUUGAGAGCUCUUUCUUGAUUAUAUGGGUGGUGGUGCAUGGCCAUUCUUAGUUGGUGGAGCAAUUUGUCUAGUUAAUUCCAAUAAUGAACAAGACCUUAGCCUGCUAACUAGCUACGUGGAGGUUCCCCUUCGUGGCUAGCUUCUUAGAGGGACUAUGGCCAUUUAGGCCAUGGAAUUUUGAGGAAAUAAUAGGUCUGUGAUGUUCUUAGAUGUUUUAGGCCACACGCGUGCUACAAUGAUGUAGCCAACGAGUUUUUCUUCCUGGUUCGAGAGGAUCAGGAAAUCUUCUCAAAUUGCAUCAUGAUGGGGAUAGACCAUUGCAAUUAUUGGUCUUCAAUGAGGAAUUCCUAGUAAGCGCAUGUCAUCAACUCAUGUUGACUACAUCCCUACCCUUUGUACACACCACUUGUCACUCCUACUGAUUGAAUGAUCUGGUGAAGUGUUCGAAUUGUGUCGACGAUGGCGGUUCACCACCAUCAACGUCGUGAGAAGUUCAUUGAACCUUAUCAUUUAGAUGAAGGAGAAGUUGUAACAAGGUUAUUGUAGGUGAAGCUGCAGUAG
rnacentral:rRNA from 1 species